CUGUGGUGAUCUGACCAAUGUCCCGCUCCCAGGUGUCCAGUCUGACCACUAGCCUCAUCACAUUUUCAUUAUGACCCAGAUUUUUGCAUCACAGCUUAUUAUCAUUACUGUAGUUAUUAACAUCAUAAAGAUGAAAGGUUAACAUUGGCUAAGUGCCUACUGUGUACAGGUACAGUGUAAUGUGCUUUAUCCAUGCUCUUAUUUGUACUUCAAGCAACCUUGUUAAGUGGUAAUCUUCAAAGGAUGGCCUUCUAAAUUGGAAAGUUGUUUUCAUCAGUCAAUUUUCAGGAUCCGCUUGGAGUCACAAGGACAGAAGAGAUGCCUGCCUUGUUAAUCUGAACAGCAAGAUCAACUCUAUCAUAAUGCGUUGACAGAUGUCCCUUCUAGAUUUGUCUCACAUCUAAGAGGCCAGAAUUAUUCCCCAUUUUAUAGAAGAGAAAAAUAAGUGUUAAAGUACUAAACUAAACUUGCUCAUAUUAAAAAAUCUAGUUAGUGACAGAGCUGGGAUUUUUGCCCAGGUCUGCCUGACAACAGUUUGUGCUUAUUUCCUCUGGGAUAUGUUUACUUCCUAACUUUUAGUAAGCAACGUAUUAGUUUUGCAUAUAACCAACUAACUACUUAACUAACUGGACAAGCAUGCAUUCCUAAACCGUUAAGUAUAGUGAAGUCUGCCUGUGGGAAACUUUGGAGGUCUGCCUUUGGUUGUGAAUUCUGAAAAUACCACCUGUAACUUAAAUAUUUGCACAUGUAGAAAGUGAGUCAUGACUGUGGGAAAAUUCUCCCUCAUUUAUUGUUUGGAUUUUAUCAACUUAGUAUGAAAACUCUUCUGGCUUCCUCAAGGCCUCAUCCAUCCGCACCCUGGAGAACCUGAAGUUCUUCCUCUACAGAUAGAGGGAUGAAGUGGCUGAGAGCCUGGAGAGGAACUUGGGAUCCUACAGAGAAGUGAGAGUUUGGAAGAAUAGAGGACAGAAAAGACAGACUUGACCAGCUAAACAGUAUGGCCUAAACAAAGUUAUCAACAGACUGGUGGAUUCCUGUAAGUAAUUAAAGAAUAAUGUUCAAGAAUAGGAAAAGUGGAAUCCAUAUAAUGACUGUUUCUGUGCCAAAUAGACUACUGAUGACAAAAUCAGUCUAGGAUGGCAGGUCUCUGCCAGAUCAGAGGUUUGAACAUUUCUUGUAAACCACAAAAAUGUCUCCCUGUAAUGACGGGAUUGCAAACAGUGGUCCCUAUGCCAGUCUCCACAUUUUUUCAUACUUCUGUCUCAGGCUUCUCUUGACUAAAAAUCCAAGCCCUGUUGACGCUCAGAAGUCUAUUAGUUUUAAGUAUUUAAAGAGUCCAGCUGAAUCAACAGGUCAGUGAAUGGACUCUGAGUGAGGAUGGAAGCCCAGGAAUUUCCUCAUAACCAGCAGUCACUUGAACUCCUCAGUAAAACGUGCCAUUGCUGUGAUCUCUGAAGGUACCUAGUUGAGCACAAUUGUAUUGGAUGAGAGAACAAUGCCCUACAAAUAGAAUAUCCAACUGAUGUCUUAAAGAUGUGCCAAGAAGGCUGUCUCACCAUCACGGAAAAACGUGAGCUCCGUCUUCUUUUACCCACUGGUACUAUGUCAGGACACAAUGAGAAAUCCAUUAGGCACAUGAAGAAAUAAUAAAAUGUGCCAUAUGCCACACACGCCAGCGCUGUGGAAGCACAUUGCUAUGAUUGGGAGACUUCCAAAUUCAAAUUAUAUUUGUCUUGAAAGUUAAGUAGGUAAUAUUUGAGUUGAGUCUUAAAGGAAGAAUAGGAUUCCAUCAGUGGAGAAGGGAUCAAUAUAAACAAAGGCAUGGAAAUCAAAUAUUGUAUUCAGAUGAUAGCAAAUAAUUGAGUAUAAUUGAAUACCUGGGUGAGGGCAGGCGAAGUCAGGAAGUAAAAGAUGAGGCUACAAAUGGAGGUUGAAAAUUGAAUGCCUUACUUUGCAUGGUGAUAGUUUAUUACAUAUAGUA